rnacentral:rRNA from 1 species
UGGCGACCGGCGGACGGGUGCGUAACGCGUAUGUAACCUACCUUUGACAGGGGGAUAACAUCGAGAAAUUGGUACUAAUACCCCAUAACAUCACCGGAGGCAUCUUCGGUGGUUGAAAACUCAGGUGGUCAGAGAUGGACAUGCGUUGUAUUAGCUAGUUGGUGAGGUAACGGCUCACCAAGGCGACGAUACAUAGGGGGACUGAGAGGUCAACCCCCCACAUUGGUACUGAGACACGGACCAAACUCCUACGGAAGGCAGCAG